AUCAACUUUCGAUGGUAGGAUAGAGGCCUACCAUGGUGGUAACGGGUAACGGGGUGUUAGGGCACGACACCGGAGAGGGAGCCUGAGAAACGGCUACCACAUCCAAGGAUGGCAGCAGGCGCGCAAAUUACCCAAUCCCGACACGGGGAGGUAGUGACAAUAAAUAACAAUACGGGGUUCUUUAGGAUCUCGUAAUUGGAAUGAGUACAAUUUAAAUCUCUUAACGAGGAACAAUUGGAGGGCAAGUCUGGUGCCAGCAGCCGCGGUAAUUCCAGCUCCAAUAGCGUAUAUUAAAGUUGUUGCAGUUAAAAAGCUCGUAGUUGAAUUUCGGGAUCAAUUUAUUGGUCGUGCUAUUGUACGUACUGGUAUUAUUGAUUCCUACCUUCUGACGAACCAUGAUGUCAUUAAUUUGGUGUCUUGGGGAAUCAGGACUGUUACUUUGAAAAAAUUAGAGUGUUUAAAGCAGGCUCACGCUUGAAUACAUUAGCAUGGAAUAACGAAAUAGGACGUUUGAUUCUAUUUUGUUGGUUUCUAGGAUCGACGUAAUGAUUAAUAGGGAUAGUUGGGGGCAUUAGUAUUCAAUUGUCAGAGGUGAAAUUCUUGGAUUUAUUGAAGACUAACUACUGCGAAAGCAUUUGCCAAGGAUGUUUUCAUUAAUCAAGAACGAAAGUUAGGGGAUCGAAGACGAUCAGAUACCGUCGUAGUCUUAACCAUAAACUAUGCCGACUAGGGAUCGGAUGAUGUUAAUUUUUUAAUGACUCAUUCGGCGCCUUACGGGAAACCAAAGUGUUUGGGUUC
rnacentral:sRNA from 1 species